rnacentral:tRNA from 1 species
GGGCCGUUAGCUCAGUUGGUAGAGCAGCGAACUUUUAAUUCGAUGGUCGUCGGAUCGAGGCCGACACGGCCCACGA